AGUCGCUUGGCCAACUCUCCUUGGAUUUUGUCUCCAUGUGAGAACAAGCCUGAGCCAGCUUGCUGGAAGACGAGAGGCAGUUCUGGAGCACCGAAGGGUCAGCCGUGUUGUUCCAGCCGAGGUCUUGGGAGGGGACCCAGGUGGGAUGAGCCGAGCCGGCAGUCGUACCACAGCUGACCACGGGCACAUCGGUUCUGCACUUUGGGCAAGUAUAUUGGAUACCUGAGAUUGGGUGAGAGCAUCCUUUCAGACUGUGGAGCGUGUGUCCUGGCCAUGUGCUCUUCAUUUUUCCCUCAAAAUGUGGGGCCGAGCUUGCGAACCCACGCUUCCGAGAGCACUGACGCUGCCAGGAAACCAAAGGACUCACAGAGGCAUCUCAGAAGGAAAAGUUUGCCAAGUUCACAUUUAGAUGCAAAGAGCAAAACACAUUCUAACUCUGAGAUCUGGGGAUUCCGUUGGAAUGAAGAUUCAGGAAGUGAGGUGCUCAGAGUGACCUUUUCUGCCUCCAGAGCUGCGUGGCUGGUCAGCUGCUCCCCGUGUGAGAGUUCCCAGCCUCUCCACAGGCCGAGUGCCUCUGACAUACGUAGAAGUUUGAGGUGAGGAAGCCACGGCUCCAUGUGUUGUGGGAUUUGCCACAGCCGCACAGCCCAUAAAGCCAAGUCCGAACUUCAAGCAGAGGCUGCUGACGGUCUGGCCACGCUCACCUCUGCUCUUCGCUGCCUCAGCACCACCAUGGUGCUGGGUGGGGGCGGGGGCUGGUAAGCAGAAGGCUUCCCCUAGCUCCUGUGGGGCCAGGGCUGACCCACCACGUGAACGAACUAACACACGAAUAAACGGAGGAAGGAACAGCGUAAGGCAGAAACCACCUUUCUACCUGACUCCUGGCUCCACUCUCCCCUCUCUCCCUGGAUACCCUUCAGCUUUGGGGGUGUCAGUCAUGUGGCACCUCUGUGGGCUUGCUUAGCGGGUGCUCUGGCAUGGGUGUCCUCUAAGAUGCUGGUCUCCUUUCUUUGCCAGCCAGAGCAUGUUAGAGGAAGGGGGAGAGAAACAGCUAGACACCAGGAAGAACUUCCAAGUGAUAUGAGACACCAAGGGGUGUGGGGCCAGGGACAGCUCUGCCACGUCCGUUACCACUCCUGUCCCGCACUGGGCCUCAGUCCCUCAGUCCCAGCACUGAUCCCACAGGACACCCUUUCCUAGAAUUGGAGGCACAGCCAUAGCAGUGCAGGGGACAAGAGGCUCCCCCAUAUGCCUCUCCCUCAAGCAGGUCUAUUUUCUCCUCAUUUAUCCAGCAUCGCUGCGUGUGCUUGGCUCCCAGGUGCAAAGUGAAUCCAGUUUACAUGCGCCAUGCUUUUACCUACCUCUCCUGGAGAUUUCAGCCCGAUGCCUCAUUUGGGUCUCCGGGGAACUUUCUGAUUCAAAUUCCAUUUGAUUCAAAUUCCAUUUGAUUCAAAUUCUGAGAGUGCGUCUUGCCAGAGCCCUGUCUGAGGUCCUCAUCAUGCUCAGUAGCCAGGAAUGGGCGGGAGGCACACAGGGAGCCCCACGGUCUCAUUUGGGGACAGAUGCUGCCACAGGCCUCUGCUGUGUGCCAGACUUCCUGUUACAGGUCUCACGGGAGCUUUCACCGGGGUCUUUCCAGGCAGAGCUGCACAUCUGGCAGCAUCUGGGACCUGAGCCUCUGUGGGCCCCAUCUGUCCUCAGUUUCCCCAUCUGCAAAAUGGAAAUCACAAUAGUUAGAUCUCAGGGAUGAAGAGGUUGUUUAAUGUGUUCCCCAAAUUUCAGUCCAUUGUCUGCCCCCUCAUGAGUU